rnacentral:tRNA from 1 species
GGAUCCAUAAGCUCAAACCGGAUAGAGCGUCCAAGCAUCGUGUUUGGGAGGAUAGUGGUUCGAUUCCACUUGGAUCCU